rnacentral:lncRNA from 1 species
CUGGAGACAGGAGAGAACAUCCUCUGUGUAGAUACCAUGUCACUAGUCAUCCCUGUGUGCUAAGCUAGUGAAACACAAGGAUGAGUUAUUAGCAUAAUCUCAUUUUGAAACUUCUGCUCACAGAGAAUAGCACCAUCUUCAAGAUGGUAAAUAAGCUCAAAGGGAUUAAAUUUACCGAAUAAAAUGUGGAUAAUACUGCUUUAUCUUUCAGAGAAGACACGUUGCUGCCUUUAUAACCUCAGUAACGAGGCUAUUACCAUCUGAGAGCGACUGUCUCCUGAGUUCUGAUUGAGUUCUGAGGGAGCAGUAGGCCACAGAGCUGUGAUUAAUCUGCAGAAGUCAUGCCCUCCGUUUAGUCAUCUCAGCUUAAAAGUCUCCACUCCAUGUGACAGCAAAAUAGUUCUUAGUUUCCAAUCCGGCAAGCAAGAAGAGUGGUUGUUUCCCUCACAAACACCUCUGAAGAAAACUCUAAGGUAUCUCAUUGUGCCUAUAGGGUUAAAUGUCCUUUCUAAGCCAGUUAUUGAAAAAUGUAAUAAUCAUGUUGGGUGGUCUGAAUCACAUGUCACAAUGAGCUUGUGUUAUGGUCAUCUCCCUGGGACCACAUAGAGUGAAAAGAAGAGAUGAAUGGAUUUCUAAAUGAAGAUGGGGACUGUUUCCAUAAGAAGUGGAAGUAGAAACUGGG